rnacentral:rRNA from 1 species
GAUGAACGCUGGCGGCGUGCCUAAUACAUGCAAGUCGAGCGAACGGACGAGAAGCUUGCUUCUCUGAUGUUAGCGGCGGACGGGUGAGUAACACGUGGAUAACCUACCUAUAAGACUGGGAUAACUUCGGGAAACCGGAGCUAAUACCGGAUAAUAUUUUGAACCGCAUGGUUCAAAAGUGAAAGACGGACUUGCUGUCACUUAUAGAUGGAUCCGCGCUGCAUUAGCUAGUUGGUAAGGUAACGGCUUACCAAGGCAACGAUGCAUAGCCGACCUGAGAGGGUGCUCGGCCACACUGGAACUGAGACACGGUCCAGACUCCUACGGGAGGCAGCAGUAGGGAAUCUUCCGCAAUGGGCGAAAGCCUGACGGAGCAACGCCGCGUGAGUGAUGAAGGUCUUCGGAUCGUAAAACUCUGUUAUUAGGGAAGAACAUAUGUGUAAGUAACUGUGCACAUCUUGACGGUACCUAAUCAGAAAGCCACGGCUAACUACGUG